rnacentral:rRNA from 1 species
UACGUAGGGUGCAAGCGUUGUCCGGAAUUAUUGGGCGUAAAGAGCUCGUAGGCGGUUCGUCACGUCGGCUGUGAAAACCUGAGGCUCAACCUCAGGCCUGCAGUCGAUACGGGCGGACUUGAGUACUGCAGGGGAGACUGGAAUUCCUGGUGUAGCGGUGAAAUGCGCAGAUAUCAGGAGGAACACCGGUGGCGAAGGCGGGUCUCUGGGCAGUAACUGACGCUGAGGAGCGAAAGCGUGGGGGAGCGAACAGG